GCGUAGGAAUCUACCUUCAGGUGGGGGACAACUCGGGGAAACUCGAGCUAAUACCGCAUAAUACCUAAGGGUCAAAGUGGGGGAUCUUCGGACCUCACGCCAGAAGAGGAGCCUGCGUUGGAUUAGUUAGUUGGUGGGGUAAUGGCCUACCAAGGCGACGAUCUAUAGCUGGUCUGAGAGGACGAUCAGCCACACUGGAACUGAGACACGGUCCAGACUCCUACGGGAGGCAGCAGUAGGGAAUCUUGGUCAAUGGGCGCAAGCCUGAACCAGCGAUGCCGCGUGUGUGAAGAAGGCCUU
rnacentral:rRNA from 1 species